GGGGCUGACUUGGAUUUCGACAGAUUUCUUGUCGCACAGACAGCAUGCCAAGUGCUGCUUGUAAAACAGCAACAAAAAUAACUGUAAACAACACAGAUUACGCUCCAGCUUACGCUAAAGCUGCGUGAGUUAAUCUCCUUUUGGAGCUGGACUGAUUAGAAUUUCUAGCGUUUUAAUCACUCCAUAACCUUAAGCUAGACGCUUUUAAAAGGUGGUUCGCCUUUUAAACUAAGAAACAAGAACUCUUGAAACUAUCUCAAGGUUUUAGAAAGUUGGACCAGAGCUAGUUUUAAGGCUAAAAAACCAACCAAUUUUCUAAGCAUUGUAGAAGUUUGUGUUUAGGGCAAGAUUUUUGGACUGGGGUUCGAUUCCCCACAGCUCCACCA
rnacentral:tmRNA from 1 species